rnacentral:rRNA from 1 species
UACGUAGGGGGCAAGCGUUAUUCGGAAUUAUUGGGCGUAAAGGGCGCGUAGGCGGCCUGGCAAGUGGAAGGUGAAAUCCCUCGGCUUAACCGAGGAACUGCCCUCCAAACUGCUUGGCUUGAGACCGGGAGAGGUGAGUGGAAUUCCCAGUGUAGCGGUGAAAUGCGUAGAUAUUGGGAGGAACACCAGUGGCGAAGGCGGCUCACUGGACCGGUACUGACGCUGAGGCGCGAAAGCGUGGGGAGCGAACAGG